CAGAGGGUGCAAGCGUUGUUCGGAAUUAUUGGGCGUAAAGCGCGUGUAGGCGGCUUGGCAAGUCAGAUGUGAAAGCCCUCGGCUUAACCGAGGAAGUGCGUCUGAAACUGCUGAGCUUGAGUCUCGGAGAGGAUGGCGGAAUUCCGCAAGUAGAGGUGAAAUUCGUAGAUAUGCGGAGGAACACCGGUGGCGAAGGCGGCCAUCUGGACGAGUACUGACGCUGAGACGCGAAAGCGUGGGGAGCAAACAGGAUUAGAUACCCUGGUAGUCCACGCUGUAAACGAUGAGAACUAGGUGUCGUGGGUGUUGACCCUCGCGGUGCCGUAGCUAACGCAUUAAGUUCUCCGCCUGGGAAGUACGGCCGCAAGGCUA
rnacentral:rRNA from 1 species